GAAUAUUGCACAAUGGGCGAAAGCCUGAUGCAGCGACGCCGCGUGGGGGAUGAAGGCCUUCGGGUUGUAAACUCCUUUCGCUAGGGACGAAGAUGUAUUUUGACGGUACCUGGAGACGAAGCACCGGCUAACUACGUGCCAGCAGCCGCGGUAAUACGUAGGGUGCGAGCGUUGUCCGGAAUUACUGGGCGUAAAGAGCUCGUAGGUGGUUUGUCGCGUCGUCUGUGAAAUCCCGGGGCUUAACUUCGGGCGUGCAGGCGAUACGGGCAUAACUUGAGUGCUGUAGGGGAGACUGGAAUUCCUGGUGUAGCGGUGAAAUGCGCAGAUAUCAGGAGGAACACCAAUGGCGAAGGCAGGUCUCUGGGCAGUAACUGACGCUGAGGAGCGAAAGCAUGGGUGGCGAACAGG
rnacentral:rRNA from 1 species